AUCUUGCUCAAUUUGGAAUCCUGUAGCUUGCCUUUUAGGGGUCCUCACAUCAAAAUAUCCAGAAUUUAGAUUGGUUGACUAGAUGGGAGAGAUUAACUGCUUGAUUUAUUUUCUGCACCUCUAGUUUCUUUUCUGACUGAUGAUGCCAAAAAAGAUAAGGUGUGGGGUUCAUUGAUAUCUUGAUUUGGUUAUUCUGCUUUGAGAUGGACUCUGAUUUUGAUACAAGACCUGAUGACUCCGGAUGACAAACCCUACUGAAUCGGACUCAACCAAUUUCACUUAAUUUGACCUUUAAAACAUGGUUAAGCCCAAUUAGGUGUGACCUGGC
rnacentral:lncRNA from 1 species